UUAAGCAUAUCAAUAAGCGGAGGAAAAGAAACCAACAGGGAUUGCCCUAGUAACGGCGAGUGAAGCGGCAACAGCUCAAAUUUGAAAUCUGGCUCUUUUAGAGUCCGAGUUGUAAUUUGCAGAGGGCGCUUUGGCUUUGGCAGCGGUCCAAGUUCCUUGGAACAGGACGUCACAGAGGGUGAGAAUCCCGUACGUGGUCGCUGGCUAUUGCCGUGUAAAGCCCCUUCGACGAGUCGAGUUGUUUGGGAAUGCAGCUCUAAAUGGGAGGUACAUUUCUUCUAAAGCUAAAUAUUGGCCAGAGACCGAUAGCGCACAAGUAGAGUGAUCGAAAGAUGAAAAGCACUUUGGAAAGAGAGUCAAACAGCACGUGAAAUUGUUAAAAGGGAAGCGCUUGCAGCCAGACUUGCUUGCAGUUGCUCAUCCGGGCUUUUGCCCGGUGCACUCUUCUGUAGGCAGGCCAGCAUCAGUUUGGGCGGUAGGAUAAAGGUCUCUGUCACGUACCUCCUUUCGGGGAGGCCUUAUAGGGGAGACGACAUACUACCAGCCUGGACUGAGGUCCGCGCAUCUGCUAGGAUGCUGGCGUAAUGGCUGUAAGCGGCCCGUCUUGAAACACGGACCAAGGAGUCUAACAUCUAUGCGAGUGUUUGGGUGUCAAGCCCGAGCGCGUAAUGAAAGUGAACGGAGGUGGGAACCCGCAAGGGUGCACCAUCGACCGAUCCUGAUGUCUUCGGAAGGAUUUGAGUAAGAGCAUGGCUGUUGGGACCCGAAAGAUGGUGAACUAUGCUUGAAUAGGGUGAAGCCAGAGGAAACUCUGGUGGAGGCUCGCAGCGGUUCUGACGUGCAAAUCGAUCGUCAAAUUUGGGCAUAGGGGCGAAAGACUAA
rnacentral:rRNA from 1 species